rnacentral:lncRNA from 1 species
UAUUUAACAUUACUUAUAUAUUAAAAAUUUAACAUAUAUAAUAUUUGCAUAUAAUAUUUUAUUUACAAAUAGAUAAUGCAAUGAUAGGUUUUUUAAAUACCUGUUAUUAAACUAUUUAACAGUUUAAUUAAAUGCCAAUGAAAAUACAGAGCCUUUUUUUUUUUAAGACAUUCAAUUCAGUUGUCUAAGACAGUUGUAAGUUGUAUUAAAACAAGGUUUUUACGUAAUAUACAUAAUAUAUUAAGUAUAAAUUUAAGACAAUUAAUUAUAUUAAGACAAUGUCUUAAUCAUAAAAUAUAUUUUAUUUAUUUGAAUAAAAAGUUUUUUAGUUUGUUAUGGAAAUAGACUAGAAAUUACCUAAUAAGCUUCUUAUAACUUGUGUAAUGUGUUUCUUUUACGAGUUUGUAUAUUGGUAUAAUCAUAUCAUGCUAUUCCUACAAUAUUAUAACUAACACUGAAGCUUGAGUCUCAAGUCACGAAAAAGGGCCAACUCUCAUGUGUUGGCGGAAAGUUACCAAAAUAUGUUAAGGACUUAAUUCAGAGAUAAUGUUGCUAAACGAUUUACAGUCGAUAAUCUUUCAAAAUCAGAAAAACUCAGGUUAGCAUCAAUUAGAAAGUUAGCGCAAUUUCUGGUAUUUGUGUGUCAAACAAAGAAUACGCGAAUUAUUUGAGAUAUGAUUGAAAUUUGCAAAGAAAGUAAAAAUCAAACUAGUUUCAUUCUAAGUUAUUGUAUAUAAUUUUAAAAUUUUGGAAUAGAAGUGAUGCAAUGUUUAUUUA